rnacentral:lncRNA from 1 species
CAAGUACUGAGAUGUGAGGAUCAUUUGUCACUGCUGCUGAGGCUGACCCAUCGGCUUAAUCCUUGGAGCCUUCCCUUUCCUUCAGGGAGCAGUGGGAGGAGCUCAGAGCCGGCACCAGGCUUUGACCUAUCCUUAGGAAUCUAGCUGGAGCGCUGGCUUGGAGGAGCACUAACACUGCACAGGAAGUGGCAUUUCCAGGAUUCUCUAAAGAAACAUACACAAGGCAGUUCGUUUACUCGUUCAACAAAUAUGUAUUGAGCACUUACUACGGAUUAGGAGCGAUGUAGCUAUGGAGGAAACAGCAAUGAACAAGCCCAAACCUCCCUCCUCGUGGGACUCAUAUUCAGAUGGUUGGAAGAGACUUGGGCUAAGUCUCUUCCGGGAGAAGCAAGCCUUUCAAAGACGUGCUCCAGUCUGGGUAAUGCGGGGCUUUGCUCUGCCAAAGAAGGCAUGCAGGUGUGGAGAGGAGCUGACCAGCUACUACCAGAGAGGAGACGCUGGAGGCACCCCAGAGAAGGGACCCGCACUUGGAGCCCCGGGCCUGAGGUCCAGCUGCAUCUCACCCACCCCUUGCCAGUCCUCCCUGCCACCACCCAGUCUCCUUACUUCCCAACUAGAGGGCCGUCACAGCUGUCCUCUGGCCACAGCCAGGCCUAGUGCACCUCCAGAGAGAGUACUUGACCUCGGUUUAGAACCUGCAUCUCACAGUGAGAUGCCGCUUUGAACUGGUAAUUCUCAACAACAGAAAAAAAAAAAAAAAAAAAGCACUGGCAAAGACGCUGAGAAACUGAAUCCACAUUUAUUUCCAGUGGGAAUGCAAAAUGGUACCACUGCUGUGGAAAGGACUCCAGCAGCUCCUAAAUAAAUUCAAACAUAAAAUCACCACAUGAUCCCGAAACUCCACUCUCAAAUACACCAAAGGAAAGCAGGGUCCCCAGACAGCUGUACACCCACGUGCUUAGCAGCUUUAUUCACAAGAGUCCACAGCGGAGACAACCGAUUUCCCUCAGCAGGUGAACAGAUAAACACGACGUGGUGCACACACCCAGUGGAGUAUGGCUCGGCCUUGGAGAGGAGGAAGGAGCGGCCCUGACAUCUCCCGGGACGCAGCCUCUGGCACGGAGGAAAGAGUCAAGACCAGAACGAAGAGCGAUCGCUCUGAUUGCAGUUAAGGUGAAAAAGCACAUAGACAAUGAACCAAGA